rnacentral:rRNA from 1 species
UACGUAGGGCGCAAGCGUUAAUCGGAAUUACUGGGCGUAAAGCGUGCGCAGGCGGCUUUGUAAGUCUGUCGUUAAAGCCCCGGGCUCAACCUGGGAAUUGCGAUGGAGACUGCAAGGCUUGAAUCUGGCAGAGGGGGGUAGAAUUCCACGUGUAGCAGUGAAAUGCGUAGAGAUGUGGAGGAACACCGAUGGCGAAGGCAGCCCCCUGGGGCAAGAUUGACGCUCAGGCACGAAAGCGUGGGGAGCAAACAGG